AAGGCGGCCUCCUGGACCACUCCUGACACUCAGACGCGAAAGCUAGGGUAGCAAACGGGAUUAGAGACCCCGGUAGUCCUAGCCCUAAACGAUGUAGACUUGGCGUCGGUGGUUUAAUCGCCAUCGGUGUCGUAGCUAACGCGNUAAGUCUACCGCCUGGGGACUACGGCCGCAAGGUUAAAACUCAAAGGAAUUGACGGGUCCCCGCACAAGCAGCGGAGCGUGUGGUUUAAUUCGAUGCUACACGAAGAACCUUACCUGGGUUUGACAUAGAGGUAGUAGGGAAGCGAAAGCGGACCGACCCUUCGGGGAGCCUCUACAGGUGUUGCAUGGCUGUCGUCAGCUCGUGUCGUGAGAUGUUCGGUUAAGUCCGCUAACGAGCGCAACCCUCGCUGUGUGUUACAAGUGUCACACGGUACUGCCGAUAAUUAAGUCA
rnacentral:rRNA from 1 species